UACGGAGGGUGCGAGCGUUGUCCGGAAUCAUUGGGCGUAAAGGGCGCGUAGGUGGCCCGGUCAGUUCGUGGUGAAAGCGCGGGGCUCAACUCCGCGUCGGCCAUGAAUACUGCUGGGCUGGAGCACUGUAGAGGCAGGCGGAAUUCCGGGUGUAGCGGUGGAAUGCGUAGAGAUCCGGAAGAACACCGGUGGCGAAGGCGGCCUGCUGGGCAGUGCUGACACUGAGGCGCGACAGCGUGGGGAGCAACAGG
rnacentral:rRNA from 1 species